CUAAAAGCGAUGAAAAGGAAGAAGGGUAUUAUCAGUCAUUUUAGCGAACCGGGGAGGGUGAAAGCCCGGUUGAAUUGUACCCUGAGCCCCCUUUGAGCUGUUGGCGGAAAGUUAUGCUAAACAGCAUAAUCAGUAUGCUCAUACCGGACGCCUCCGUUAAUGGAUUUGAGAGGGAUGCAACAUAAUUUGCAGCCAAUGAGGGUGGUACCGCGAGAACCGGACUCUCGUCCCUUUG
rnacentral:ncRNA from 1 species